UCAUAUUUCUUCACAUUUCACAUGAAUAUAUCACUAGUCUAAACCCACCCUAAGACACCAUUUCGGUAGGACUCAUAGUUUUUGAGAUAUAAAUUAUCAAAUAUUUCUCUUGCUAAAAUCGAUACGCCUUUUUCAAGAGUUACACUUAAGUCAAAAAAUUCCCAAAUGCUGUGGAAAACUCAUAUUUCCUCCCACACAAACGGAAUACAAACUUUCAUUCGAAUCAAAAAUACUCAUGUUUUGUCAUUUGCGGAUUUUUCAUUUGGAAUUGCUCUAUAGUCACAUUUUCAAAAAAAAAAAGGACAAACACAAGUGCUUCCGAUUUUUGCAACGCUCCAAUACAUGGAUGGCCCCACUAUAUUUGUAACAGGGCAAUUGUCAUCUAAGUAGAAAUUGAUAGCCCAAAAUUGUUAUACCUUGUCAUAAUUUUUUUUUUAUAAAACCUGUUCCAUUUUCACUUUACGCAUAAAAUAUUAAUCUUACAUAACAAAAUUGAUUUCGAAUCCUAGGUAAAGUGUAUCACUAUUUACAGUAGUAUUCAUGUAUAUCCGAUUCAUAGUUACUAGUUACCUGUCAUCAUUCUACGGGUUAAAUAUUGAAAGUUCUAGGCUGCAUUUGAUUAUCUUGUAAAAUUAAAUAAUUUACUAUUGAUCAUUCGUAUUAAUAAUAUAGAGCAAUACUAUGUUGUUGUGAGCAGAUUGCAUAGAUUAGCAAUUAGUUGUCCCUCUCUUCUCAACUUCUAGAUAAAUUUCAAAUCGAAUGCGGACAAAAAAAAAGUGUUGAUAAAGAGGGAUAAAAUUGUGUCUUUUACCAUAUUGAUUGAUUCUGGUGCGUAUGCUAUCCGAUAAAAUUAUAAUACCCAGCUCAUCCAUUUAUUGUCGUUAUCCCUCUUCAGCACUUAUUCGCCUUUUUUGACAGAAUUGCCAUCCAACUAGUGUGCAGUCCACGCUUUCUCACAGCCAUGUUUUCAUAUGUUUAUGAUGCUCACAUUUUAAUGUAUGAAGAAGGAUUUGUCUCUAUGCUGCUGCAGAUGCCUUCAACGUCGAAGCAUUUUUUCUAUAAGCGUAUUAUGGUACUGAAAAAUGCAACCGCGACAAUUCAGCGCAAAUUAAGGAUCAAUUCGCGAGUUUGUUAACUGUAUUCAGUAACAAGCAAAUCAACACAUGCAUUUGUUGCUAUUCGGGGUUUCUCCUAAAGAAAUCUAGAAUUUAUUAUAUACAACCUAUAACUAUUCUGUUAUUAUUUACAAAUUCGAUAUCUUUAUCAAAUGGGUUUAAGCAAAAAAUAAAAUUCAAAAAUACGGUGAAAACUGGAAUAUUCGGGUGUAAGGCCGCUUUCAACAUUAUCGAAUCUUGCAGACAGCAUUCAACGUGGAAUUGUUUUAAGUUGAUAUGGCUGUGUGUGUUUUUUAUUCUGACAUAUAUUCAACCCGACUGAGUUUACAAGAUCACAAACAUUAGGCUGAGCUUAACAGAUCUAAAAUAAAUAAUUCUUUUCGGGGAUUGGUUCGAUAAGACGCGUAUGCUACAUAUGGAAAGGAUUAAAAUAGAUUUCAGCUAGGCUCUCCCCUCUCUCGAUAUUUGCUACGUCAGCUACUCUUUUGUCACAGUCUUAUGCGCAGUCCGGUAAUUGGCGGUUCUGAAACGAGACGUAAACUUAUCAGAGAUUGGGUGUGAAGAUUGCGAUACGUUUCCCCGCGGGGAUCGAUCGAUGAGUAAUGCCGAGCAAAAACCUUGACAUUAACGAUUUUACAUGCAUAUAUACAUUACAAAAACAUAAGCAUAUUGCAAUUCUAGGCGAUUCAUUCGCUGUGAAUUUUUAAUGCGUAUAUUAUCGGCAAGCUAACAAAUAGGGUAUUUAUCACUAAUUGUACAACAACAACCAUGAGAAAAAAGGAAUCUGUUAGCGGUAGUGCAAAAAAAAACAAUUUGUGAUAUGUGUUUCGUGUCGACUAUAAAAUAUGCAUUGAAAUAAGAGAAUACCAGGCAGUAAAUCCCAGAUAAAACCAGAUUCAACGAAUUAAAUACUAUGCUUAUUUUGAGAAAAGGGCAAUUUCACAAAACGUGAAAUGUGUUCUGGUUCUUUACAGCGACAAUCUAUCCUGAAAGUAGAAGAUGAUCUUAAUAAGCGCAACAGUAGGUGGGACUAGAGCUGCCAUCUUACCAUUUUGACGCCAUCUUCAACAGCUUACGUUAUCAGAUUUGCAACUUUGGUCGAUGACACAUGGCGCAGUUCUGCCAUACUUGAUCUUUCGAUCUGCUGUUCAUCAGUGACUCCAGACUUUUUGUGAGUAUGUUUGCCAAAUAUCAGUUUACUGUUUAUGGUUAGGUCGGGAUAUAUUACUCCGUCGGACCAAGGAACGUCGUUGGGGUAAAUUCUGGAGAUAACGUUUCCAAGGCAAAAAGAUUGUUUGAGGUUUGUUAGAGUUGACCGUUAACCUUGGGAUACACUAGAGGAAAUACUCUCCGUCUGCGACAGAUUACCACUCACAGCUACUUGAAAAUUUGGGAUCAGAAGAAUCACAGCUGCACCAGGCACCAAUUUUGGAGAAUGUUUUCUUGGUAUAGUUACCUCAUAAAUUGAUAUGAUGUUUGACAAUAGAGCGUGUUCAACGAAAGUUUGUCAGGCUUGCAUUAUACCACCAACCAUGUCACAAGAUGCGCUAAACCUCCCACCCUAUUCGGAACGCUGCAAUCUGCUCAGACUGGACAAUCUGGA